AGACCCGAAACCCGGUGAUCUAGCCAUGGGCAGGUUGAAGGUUGGGUAACACUAACUGGAGGACCGAACCGACUAAUGUUGAAAAAUUAGCGGAUGACCUGUGGCUGGGGGUGAAAGGCCAAUCAAACCGGGAGAUAGCUGGUUCUCCCCGAAAGCUAUUUAGGUAGCGCCUCGUGAAUUCAUCUCCGGGGGUAGAGCACUGUUUCGGCUAGGGGGCCAUCCCGGCUUACCAACCCGAUGCAAACUGCGAAUACCGGAGAAUGUUAUCACGGGAGACACACGGCGGGUGCUAACGUCCGUCGUGAAGAGGGAAACAACCCAGACCGCCAGCUAAGGUCCCAAAGUCAUGGUUAAGUGGGAAACGAUGUGGGAAGGCCCAGACAGCCAGGAUGUUGGCUUAGAAGCAGCCAUCAUUUAAAGAAAGCGUAAUAGCUCACUGGUCGAGUCGGCCUGCGCGGAAGAUGUAACGGGGCUAAACCAUGCACCGAAGCUGCGGCAGCGACACUGUGUGUUGUUGGGUAGGGGAGCGUUCUGUAAGCCUGUGAAGGUGUGUCGUGAGGCAUGCUGGAGGUAUCAGAAGUGCGAAUGCUGACAUAAGUAACGAUAAAGCGGGUGAAAAGCCCGCUCGCCGGAAGACCAAGGGUUCCUGUCCAACGUUAAUCGGGGCAGGGUGAGUCGACCCCUAAGGCGAGGCCGAAAGGCGUAGUCGAUGGGAAACGGGUUAAUAUUCCCGUACUUGGUGUUACUGCGAAGGGGGGACGGAGAAGGCUAUGUUGGCCGGGCGACGGUUGUCCCGGUUUAAGCGUGUAGGUGUGUGUUCCAGGUAAAUCCGGUUCACUUUAACACUGAGGCGUGACGACGAGGCACUACGGUGCUGAAGCAACAAAUGCCCUGCUUCCAGGAAAAGCCUCUAAGCAUCAGGUAACAUCAAAUCGUACCCCAAACCGACACAGGUGGUCAGGUAGAGAAUACCAAGGCGCUUGAGAGAACUCGGGUGAAGGAACUAGGCAAAAUGGUGCCGUAACUUCGGGAGAAGGCACGCUGACACGUAGGUGAAGUGAUUUACUCAUGGAGCUGAAGUCAGUCGAAGAUACCAGCUGGCUGCAACUGUUUAUUAAAAACACAGCACUGUGCAAACACGAAAGUGGACGUAUACGGUGUGACGCCUGCCCGGUGCCGGAAGGUUAAUUGAUGGGGUCAGCGCAAGCGAAGCUCCUGAUCGAAGCCCCGGUAAACGGCGGCCGUAACUAUAACGGUCCUAAGGUAGCGAAAUUCCUUGUCGGGUAAGUUCCGACCUGCACGAAUGGCGUAAUGAUGGCCAGGCUGUCUCCACCCGAGACUCAGUGAAAUUGAACUCGCUGUGAAGAUGCAGUGUACCCGCGGCAAGACGGAAAGACCCCGUGAACCUUUACUAUAGCUUGACACUGAACAUUGAGCCUUGAUGUGUAGGAUAGGUGGGAGGCUUUGAAGUGUGGACGCCAGUCUGCAUGGAGCCGACCUUGAAAUACCACCCUUUAAUGUUUGAUGUUCUAACGUGGACCCGUUACCCGGGUUGCGGACAGUGUCUGGUGGGUAGUUUGACUGGGGCGGUCUCCUCCUAAAGAGUAACGGAGGAGCACGAAGGUUGGCUAAUCCUGGUCGGACAUCAGGAGGUUAGUGCAAUGGCAUAAGCCAGCUUGACUGCGAGCGUGACGGCGCGAGCAGGUGCGAAAGCAGGUCAUAGUGAUCCGGUGGUUCUGAAUGGAAGGGCCAUCGCUCAACGGAUAAAAGGUACUCCGGGGAUAACAGGCUGAUACCGCCCAAGAGUUCAUAUCGACGGCGGUGUUUGGCACCUCGAUGUCGGCUCAUCACAUCCUGGGGCUGAAGUAGGUCCCAAGGGUAUGGCUGUUCGCCAUUUAAAGUGGUACGCGAGCUGGGUUUAGAACGUCGUGAGACAGUUCGGUCCCUAUCUGCCGUGGGCGCUGGAGAACUGAGGGGGGCUGCUCCUAGUACGAGAGGACCGGAGUGGACGCAUCACUGGUGUUCGGGUUGUCAUGCCAAUGGCACUGCCCGGUAGCUAAAUGCGGAAGAGAUAAGUGCUGAAAGCAUCUAAGCACGAAACUUGCCCCGAGAUGAGUUCUCCCUGAGACUUAAAGUCUCCUGAAGGAACGUUGAAGACGACGACGUUGAUAGGCCGGGUGUGUAAGCGCAGCGAUGCGUUGAGCUAACCGGUACUAAUGAACCGU
rnacentral:rRNA from 1 species